rnacentral:rRNA from 1 species
GACGAACGCUGGCGGCGUGCUUAACACAUGCAAGUCGAACGAUGAACUGGAGCUUGCUCCAGGGAUUAGUGGCGAACGGGUGAGUAACACGUGAGUAACCUGCCCUUGACUCUGGGAUAAGCGUUGGAAACGACGUCUAAUACCGGAUAUGAGCUGCGACGGCAUCGUCUGCAGUUGGAAAGAUUUUUUGGUCAAGGAUGGACUCGCGGCCUAUCAGGUAGUUGGUGAGGUAACGGCUCACCAAGCCGACGACGGGUAGCCGGCCUGAGAGGGUGACCGGCCACACUGGGACUGAGACACGGCCCAGACUCCUACGGGAGGCAGCAGUGGGGAAUAUUGCACAAUGGGCGAAAGCCUGAUGCAGCAACGCCGCGUGAGGGAUGACGGCCUUCGGGUUGUAAACCUCUUUUAGUAGGGAAGAAGGGAGCUUGCUCUGACG